AUGGGCUGCUGCGUCAGCAAGAAGCGCGGCGAGCCGCCGGGCGCGGCCGAUGGGGGGAAGGCCGUCGAGGCCCGCGACCUGCCGCCGCCCGAGGAGGAGAAGGUCAAGGAGGUGCUCUCCGAGACGCCGCGCGUCAAGCCGCCGCCCAGGCCCAGGCGUGUCGCCGGUGGCGCUGUGGUGGCGCCGUCGGCGGAGAAGGCCAGGGCCAAGGACGGCGGCACCGCCAGGGCGAAGGACGGCCGUGGUGUCGGCGGCAGGGUCGGCAGGCCCGCGCGCUCCGUCGAGGAGAAGUCGGAGGCCGCGUCCGAGUCGUCGGCCGCGACCACGGUGGCCGGGCCCGAGCGGUCCCCGUCGUCGAAGCCGCCCAGGUGCCGGCAGGGAAGGCCCGCGCCCGGUGGCGAGCCCAGGCGCGCCAGGCGGGACCGGGACCACGGCGCGGCCACACCCGGCGGGCGCGGCCGCGCGUCCCCCUCGCCCCCGCCUCCCCGACGCGACCCCGGGCGCAGGUCGCCGUCGCCCGCGGCGAAGCGGGCGCAGGACCAGCGCCGCGACGCUGCCGGCUCGGCCUCCUGCGCGCAGCGGAAGCCGCCCGUGCCCGCCAGGCCGACGCCUCCGCGUGCGCAGGAGGCGCCGGCAAAGCCACAUCUACACGGCCCUCCUACGCAGUGUGCGUCGCCACCGACGCCACAGGCGCCGGAGCAGGAGGAUACGAGUACUCCCCAAGGCAGCGACGGCGACGCCGCGGCGGGUGACGGCGAGGGCGAGGGGAAGGAGUCCCUGGAGAACCCCCUGGUGUCCAUGGAGUGCUUCAUCUUCCUGUAA
rnacentral:rRNA from 1 species